UACGUAGGGGGCGAGCGUUGUCCGGAAUUAUUGGGCGUAAAGAGCGUGUAGGCGGUUCGGUAAGUCUGCCGUGAAAACCUGGGGCUCAACCCCGGGCGUGCGGUGGAUACUGCCGGGCUAGAGGGUGGUAGAGGCGAGUGGAAUUCCUGGUGUAGCGGUGAAAUGCGCAGAUAUCAGGAAGAACACCCGUGGCUAAGGCGGCUCUCUAGUACGGUACUGACGCUGAGACGCGAAAGCGUGGGGAGCGAACAGG
rnacentral:rRNA from 1 species